rnacentral:rRNA from 1 species
UACGUAGGGGGCAAGCGUUGUCCGGAUUUAUUGGGCGUAAAGGGCUCGUAGGCGGUCUGUCGCGUCGGGAGUGAAAACUCAGGGCUCAACCCUGAGCGUGCUUCCGAUGACGGGCAGACUAGAGGUAUGCAGGGGAGAACGGAAUUCCUGGUGUAGCGGUGGAAUGCGCAGAUAUCAGGAGGAACACCGGUGGCGAAGGCGGUUCUCUGGGCAUGACCUGACGCUGAGGAGCGAAAGCAUGGGGAGCGAACAGG